GAGUUCUUCACGUCUUUCUUGAAGUCCUCCAGCAUCAUGAUCAAAUAUGAUUUUGAAACUAGAUCUUGCUUUUCUGGUGUGUUUGGAUAUUCCAUGUUUGUUUUGAUAGGAGAAUUGGGCUCCGAUGAUGCCAUGUAGUCUUGGUUUCUGUUGCUUGGGUUCCUGCGCUUGCCUCUUGCCAUCAGAUUAUCUCUACUGUUACUUUGUUCUGCUAUUUCUGACAGUGGCUAGACUGUCCUAUAAGCCUGUGUGUCAGGAGUGCUGUAGACCUGUUUUCCUCUUUUCUUUCAGCCUGUUAUAGGGACAGAGUGUUCUGCUUUCGGGUGUGUAGUUUUUCCUCUCUACAGGUCUUCAGCUGUUCCUGUGGGCCUGUGUCUUGAGUUCACCAGGAAGGUCACUUGCAGCAGAAAAGUUGGUCUUACCUGUGGUCCUGAGGCUGAGGCUCAAGUUUGCUCUCGGGGUGCUGCCCACGAGCUCUCUGCGGCGGCAGCAACCAGGAAGAUCUGCGCCGCCGUUUCUGGGAGCUUCAGUGCACCAGGGUUCCAGACGGCAUUUGGUGUUUUCCUCUGGAAUCAGUAAUGUGUGCAGAGUGCAGUCUCUUCUGGUUUCCCAGGCAUGUCUGCCUCUCUGAAGGUUUAGCUCUCCCUCCCACGGGAUUUGGGUGCAGAGAACUGUUUAUCUGGUCUGUUCCUUCAGGUUCCGGCGGUGUCUCAGGCGCAGGGGUCCUGUCGCUCCUGGGCCCUCCCCUAAGGGAACCCAGAGGCCUUAUACAGUUUCCUCUUGGGCCAGGGAUGUGGGCAGGGGUGGGCAGUGUUGGUGGUCUCUUCUGCUCUGCAGCCUCAGGAGUGCCCACCUGACCAGGCGGUGAGGUCUCUCUCCCACGGGGUCUGGGAGCAGAGCUGCUGCGGGCCGGGGUGUAUUCUACUUUUUAAAGGUAAAUAACUACUUUUUGUGCAACUGUAGCAACCUUGAAACACUUAUAAACUGAUCGUGAAAAUAUGAAAUGGCUGUUUCUGUGGGAAUCAGUGUGGUCAUUCCUCCAAAAGUCAUCUAUACAUGUAAGACAACAGUUUUGCUUCUAAUUACAGGCUCAGAAAGAAUUGCAAGGAAUUACUCAAUAAAUAUCUGCUUAUAGCUCAAGGCAUGUGUACAAUAUCUAAGAGGGAAUACAGCCGAGACAUCCACCGAGAAUGGACAGAUAAGCAUCAAUCUAUCCAUGAAUGAUAUAUUCUACAGAUUUAAAACAGCACAAUGUAUAUGUCCUACAAUGUAAGGGAGCCUGGGAAGCAUAGUGCUAGUGAAGGAAAACAAACACAGAAGGUUUUGUGUUCUUAACUAUUCUCUUCUAUGGAAGACACAGACCACAGAAGUCCCUAGAAACCCCAUGGAAGACUCAGAGAUGACAAUGCCAGGAACCAGCAGGAAGUAGGACAAUGUUGGUGAGCUGGAGGACAAAGCCAGAUUCCAGAGCCUGAUCCACACUGGCCUGAGCAGUACCCAGCGUUGAAGCCAAAGUCCCUUGGCCCUUCUCUCUCAGAGAUCUGAAGUGAGGCCUAGAGGUGAUAAAUCAGGCCCAGCAUAUGGAAGUAACCAGAGUUUAUUUAUCACAUAACUGGAGUUACAGACAAUUGUAAGCUGCCAUGGGAGUGCUGGGAAUUGAACCCAAGUCCUCUGGAAGAUCAGUCCAUGCUCAUAUCCACUGAGCCAUCUCUCCAGCCCCUUGUCAUAGACCUUAAUGACCUUCAGCACAAGACUGGGACUGUUGAGGCAUACAGCGUCACUGAGCAGAUUCUGGGCUUGUCGUCUCUCCAGGGUACAGUCUUCAACUUACUUCCCUGUCCUAGACGUAAGCCAAUCUAGUGAAUUUUCUUUAAUCACACACACACACACACACACACACACACACACACACACACACACACACGUCCAUUCUUUCCCUCUGGAGAACCUUCAAUAUUAUCAUUUGUAUUUGGAGCUACUUAGCCUGAAGGUCUGCUGUACAGCAAUGUGUUUUGUGGACUUCACCACACCCCAGGAGAGUGGAAAACAUGCCCAAAGCCCAGACAUCACUUGCUUGUGAUCUCUUUAUCUGAAGAAAUGGUAUCAGAAAUGAUUACUCACUAAGGUGUUGCUUUAUCCAAGACAGAGGUAUGUUAUUAUGCCCACUCAAGCUUCCCACCCAACAAACGUGCAUGACCACGACUUUGUUAUAUAAACCUCCAAUUACAACUGUCUUUGAGUGUGUGCUUUAUUGUACAGAGAGACGGUAUUUCUUUAUUUUCUCAGAUAAAAGCAAGCUGGGAAAUGUUGCCUCUGUGACUUGGUAUUCAACAUGCUCAGAUGAGAUGUGGGCUGGGAAAGGAAGGGUUCAGUUCAUCACAGAUGAGGUAUUUUAAGGCUGUCUAUUAAACGGUCAUUGACAUUUGUAGAUUUGAAUCCAGUUUCAAUAAACAGACUGAUGGUUCUAUUACUAUGUUGUCACAUCUGUGCAGUGGACUGUGACAGGAUACAGCACUGGGCUGAUCCACCAGGACAUGAGAUUUCUUUGCACACUUAAGACAUCUUAUUUGCUAACUUCCAUGUCUUGGGGCCUUGCUGAGCCUUACUUUCUGAUCCUCUCUGCUUUGACUGGAGUGCACUUUAUUAUUGUUGUUGUUGUCACCAUAAUCAUUACCUGAGCUUAGAAAGGUGAGCUCCAACUGCACGGUUCUUCAUGUCAAUGGGUCGACAGAGAUAUCUAAGGAGUGUAAUGUGAGUAAGCAUGGAAGUCUUACCACAGGGUUCUGUGAAAGAACCCUACUUAAAGGUGCUUGUGGAAUAGAAGGCGAGCCCCUCUG
ensembl:lncRNA